UACGUAGGUGGCAAGCGUUGUCCGGAUUUAUUGGGCGUAAAGAGCUCGUAGGCGGUCUGUCGCGUCGGUCGUGAAAACUUGGGGCUUAACCCUGAGCUUGCGGUCGAUACGGGCAUGACUGGAGUUCGGCAGGGGAGACUGGAAUUCCUGGUGUAGCGGCGAAAUGCGCAGAUAUCAGGAGGAACACCGGUGGCGAAGGCGGGUCUCUGGGCCGAUACUGACGCUGAGGAGCGAAAGCGUGGGGAGCGAACAGG
rnacentral:rRNA from 1 species